CAGCAGCCGCGGUAUACGUAGGCUGCAAGCGUUGUCCGGAAUUAUUGGGCGUAAAGAGCUCGUAGCGGUCUGUCGCGUCUGCUGUGAAAUCCCGAGGCUCAACCUCGGGCUUGCAGUGGGUACGGGCAGACUAAGUGCGGUAGGGAGAAUGGAAUUCCUGGUGUACGGUGGAAUGCGCAGAUAUCAGGAGGAACACCGAUGGCGAAGGCAGUUCUCUGGGCCGUAACUGACGCUGAGGAGCGAAAGCGUGGGGAGCGAACAGGAUUAGAUACCCUGGUAGUCAAGGGCG
rnacentral:rRNA from 1 species